rnacentral:rRNA from 1 species
AUUGAACGCUGGCGGCAGGCCUAACACAUGCAAGUCGAACGGUAGCACAGAGGAGCUUGCUCCUCGGGUGACGAGUGGCGGACGGGUGAGUAAUGUCUGGGGAUCUGCCCGAUAGAGGGGGAUAACCACUGGAAACGGUGGCUAAUACCGCAUAACGUCGCAAGACCAAAGAGGGGGACCUUCGGGCCUCUCACUAUCGGAUGAACCCAGAUGGGAUUAGCUAGUAGGCGGGGUAACGGCCCACCUAGGCGACGAUCCCUAGCUGGUCUGGGAGGAUGACCAGCCACACUGGAACUGAGACACGGUCCAGACUCCUACGGGAGGCAGCAGUGGGGAAUAUUGCACAAUGGGCGCAAGCCUGAUGCAGCCAUGCCGCGUGUAGGAAGAAGGCCUUCGGGUUGUAAAGUACUUUCAGCGGGGAGGAAGGCGAUGUGGUUAAUAACCGCAAUGAUUGACGUUCCCCGCAGAAGAAGCCCCGGCUAACUCCGUGCCAGCCGCCGCGGUAA